GAUAAACGCUAGCGGCAGGCCUAACACAUGCAAGUCGAGGGGCAGCGGAUGAAGUACUUCGGUACUUUUGCCGGCGACCGGCGCACGGGUGCGUAACGCGUAUGCAACCUACCUUUAACAGGGGGAUAAUCCGAAGAAAUUUGGUCUAAUACCCCAUAACAUUCUGAAAGGCAUCUUUUGGAGUUAAAAAUUCCGAUGGUUAAAGAUGGGCAUGCGUUGUAUUAGUUAGUUGGUGGGGUAACGGCUCACCAAGACUAUGAUACAUAGGGGGACUGAGAGGUUUUCCCCCCACACUGGUACUGAGACACGGACCAGACUCCUACGGGAGGCAGCAGUGAGGAAUAUUGGUCAAUGGACGCAAGUCUGAACCAGCCAUGCCGCGUGCAGGAUGACGGCUCUAUGAGUUGUAAACUGCUUUUGUACGAGGGUAACCGCAGGUACGUGUACCUGUCUGAAAGUAUCGUACGAAUAAGGAUCGGCUAACUCCGUGCCAGCAGCCGCCGUAACAC
rnacentral:rRNA from 1 species